rnacentral:rRNA from 1 species
CUUCUUUUGCAACCCACUCCCAUGGUGUGACGGGCGGUGUGUACAAGGCCCGGGAACGUAUUCACCGUGGCAUUCUGAUCCACGAUUACUAGCGAUUCCGACUUCAUGGAGUCGAGUUGCAGACUCCAAUCCGGACUACGACAUACUUUAUGAGGUCCGCUUGCUCUCGCGAGGUCGCUUCUCUUUGUAUAUGCCAUUGUAGCACGUGUGUAGCCCUACUCGUAAGGGCCAUGAUGACUUGGACGUCAUCCCCACCUUCCUCCAGUUUAUCACUGGCAGUCUCCUUUGAGUUCCCGGCCGGACCGCUGGCAACAAAGGAUAAGGGUUGCGCUCGUUGCGGGACUUAACCCAACAUUUCACAACACGAGCUGACGACAGCCAUGCAGCACCUGUCUCAGAGUUCCCGAAGGCACCAAAGCAUCUCUGCUAAGUUCUCUGGAUGUCAAGAGUAGGUAAGGUUCUUCGCGUUGCAUCGAAUUAAACCCACCAUGCUCCACCGCCUUGUGCGGGCCCCCGUCAAUUCAUUUGAGUUUUAACCUUGCGGCCGUACUCCCCAGGCGGUCGACUUAACGCGUUAGCUCCGGAAGCCACGCCUCAAGGGCACAACCUCCAAGUCGACAUCGUUUACGGCGUGGACUACCAGGGUAUCUAAUCCUGUUUGCUCCCCACGCUUUCGCACCUGAGCGUCAGUCUUUGUCCAGGGGGCCGCCUUCGCCACCGGUAUUCCUCCAGAUCUCUACGCAUUUCACCGCUACACCUGGAAUUCUACCCCCCUCUACAAGACUCUAGCCUGCCAGUUUCGGAUGUCAGUCCCAGGUUAGCCCGGGAUUUCACAUCCGACUUGAAAACCGGCGGGGCGCUUUACGGCCCAGGUAUUCCGAUUAACGCUUGGCACUCCGAAUACGCGCUGCUGCACGUAGUUUGCCGUGGCUUCCUCUCAGGUACCGUCUGUUUCGUCCCUGUUGACAGAGCUUUACGAUUCCGAACCUUCUUCACUCACGCGGGCGUUGCUCCGUCAGGCUUUCGCCCAUUGCGGAAUAUUCCCUACUGCUGCCUCCCGUAGGAGUCUGGACCGUUUCUCAGUUCCAGUGUGGCCGUUCACCCUCUCAGGUCGGCUACCUAUCGUCGCCUUGGUAGGCCGUUACCCUACCAACUAGCUAAUAGGCCGCGGGUCCAUCCUUAAGCGGAUUGCUCCUUUUCCAACAAAAUCAUGCGAUCUCGUUGAUUUACGCGGUAUUAGCGUCCCUUUCGGGACGUUAUCCCCCUCUUAAGGCCAGGUUGCCCACGUGUUACUCACCCGUCCGCC